GUCAGACAACGAAGUUUAGAAGUUGACAGUUUUCCGCGAGUUUUUCUUGUGAGCUAUGAAAAAGAGAAAUAGUUAAAACAAAAAGAAAACAUAAGUAUUGCACAUGAUUUCUAUGCCAAUUGGAAUUUUAGUGAAGUGAAAUAUUUAAAACAAAUUGAUUUUUUCGUCUCGAGGGGUAAACAAAAGAAAAUGAAUGUGUGACAAACCCUUAAAAACGCAACAUCUGAAAGUAGAAAAAGAAAAGCUAAGGCAGUCGCAGCACCCAAACAAAAAGUGUAUACAAAAAUUAAGAAGGUGAAUAAAUCUUAGAGAAAUCACAGAGUUUUGUGUCUAUUGGCGAAAAAGAAGUGGAAUAGUUUUGUGUGUGGGAGACAAGUGCACGAAUAAUUCAAUAAUUUACAAAUAUUUGUGAAUUUUGUGAGGGUAGAAAAAGAAUAAUUUGUGAAACAAGGCUUACUAUUUCUUUUUUGGAAGGGGGUUUAUCAUCGUCAUCGUAUUGGCGUACACCAGUACUCGCAGAUAUCAACAACAAAUCUCUGCAGCCAGCAGCCACCGUCGCAGCAGCAGCAGCAAAAAACAAACAAAAAAUUUUCACUUUGCAGUGUCUGUCGUCGUCUCAUCAACGUUUUUUUUUGCUUUGAAUCAUUAGAAAAUUAAUAAAGAUUCCACAACAGCACCAUAACUCAUAUGGCACAUCGAACGAUCAUGUUGAAAACAAAUUAAUUUUCCAAAAUUGAAAAUUUGGAAACCAUACAAACCACAAAAGCAACAACAAAUAAAAAGGUUCCUAAGGAGUGGCAACAAAUUUGCUACCAAACUUACAACCAAUCCAGCAACUGCUCUCCUUACCCAUUCAAAUUGCUUGCUGCUAACAGACCGAACACCGCAAAAACAACAAAACAUUGGCAAUGACCCUAACAACAGCUUCAGCCACAACUGCCGCCACAAAUCAGCCCACCUCACUACCCCUGACGACGUCAACGGAAAGCGCCAGUAAAAAAAUGGAUAUUAAAUGUCCCGUUGCCGCCGUUGCUGUAGCUGAGGAAAAUCUACCCACCUCUGAAAUGGAUCUCUUGGCCAAAUUGGAAGCUGCCAAUAAGUUAAUUGAAAGCGACGCCAAAUCCUUGAAUUCUUUGCAUUCCACACACAGUCGCAAGAAUUCCGAUACCAGUCAAAUAAGUAUUACCAGUCAGAAUGGCAACUCCGUAGCCGAAGAGGAUAUCUGGACCACAUGGGCCACAAUUCUAAGCGAUUGGGAGGGUGCAUUGAAAAGGAAAAAUCCAUGUGUUCGUGAAUUGGUGCGUCGUGGCAUACCGCAUCAUUUUAGAGCCAUCGUUUGGCAACAGUUGUGCGGUGCCAGUGAUGCAGAUAAAAAACAAUAUGCCGAAUAUAUAAAGGCCACAUCGGCAUGUGAGAAAGUGAUACGUCGAGACAUUGCUCGCACGUAUCCAGAAGUUGAUUUUUUCAAAGAAAAAGAUGGACCCGGCCAGGAAGCUCUCUUCAAUGUAAUCAAAGCCUAUUCACUGCAUGAUCGUGAAGUUGGAUAUUGCCAGGGAUCUGGUUUCAUUGUUGGCCUACUACUCAUGCAUAUGCCCGAGGAGGAAGCAUUUGCCGUCUUAGUACAAAUAAUGCAACAGCAUCGUAUGCGUGAUAUGUUCAAGCCAUCAAUGUCUGAAUUGGGGCUGUGCAUGUAUCAGUUGGAGAAUUUGGUACAGGAGCAGAUACCCGAAAUGCAUAUACACUUCCAGCAACAGGGAUUCCAAACAACCAUGUAUGCUUCCAGUUGGUUCCUUACCUUGUAUACCACAUCAUUAAGCUUAAACAUCAGCAGUCUUAUAAUGGAUGUAUUCCUUAGCGAGGGCAUGGAAUUUAUUUUCAAAGUUGCCUUGGCCCUGUUGCUGUUGGGCAAGGACACACUGUUGUCAUUGGAUAUGGAGGCUAUGUUAAAGUAUUUCCAAAAAGAACUUCCCAAAAAAGUUGAGGCCGAUCCCGAUGCUUUCUUCCAAUUGGCCUAUUCCAUAAAAAUCAAUACGAAACGCAUGAAGAAAAUGGAAAAAGAAUAUCAAGAUGUUAAGAAAAAGGAACAAGAAGAAAUGGUUGAACUGAGACGUUUGCGAAGAGAAAAUCGUUUACUGAAGCAACGCAAUGAUCUAUUGGAGGCUGAGUCUGCAGAAUUGGCUGAUCGUUUGGUCAGAGGACAAGUGUCCAGGGCCGAAGAGGAGGAAACAAGCUUUGCUAUACAAACCGAACUAAUGCAGUUGCGUCGCUCUUAUUUGGAAAUCUCUCAUCAAUUGGAAAAUGCCAACGAAGAAGUUCGUGGUCUAAGUUUACGUUUACAGGAAAAUACUGAUCCUUUGGGAAGCAACAACUCCCGUCAAUCAUCGCUCGAUGAACUUUGCAUGAAAGAAGAAGCUCUCAAGCAGCGCGAUGAAAUGGUCUCAUGCCUACUCGAGGAAUUGGUUAAGGUACGACAAAGUUUGGCCGAGAGUGAAGAUCAAAUACGCAACCUGAAGGCCAAAGUCGAAGAGCUGGAGGAAGAUAAAAAGACUUUACGUGAAACCACACCCGACAAUUCGGUGGCCCAUCUACAGGAUGAACUAAUAGCCAGUAAAUUGCGAGAGGCUGAGGCCAGUCUCUCGCUGAAAGAUCUCAAACAAAGGGUACAAGAGCUAAGCAAUCAAUGGCAACGUCAGUUGCAGGAACAACGCAACGAUCACAAUUCCCACCCCGUUGAUUCGACACCAAAGAAACUACUCACCAAUCUCUUCGAUUCAUCCAAAUCGAAUGAACAUACCCAGAAAUUGGAAGAAGAAUUGAUGACAACCCGCAUUCGUGAAAUGGAAACUCUAACCGAGUUGAAAGAGCUACGUCUCAAAGUAAUGGAGCUGGAAACUCAAGUCCAGGUCUCAACAAAUCAACUGCGUCGCCAGGAUGAGGAGAAUAAGAAAUUGAAGGAGGAACUGGAUUCAGCUCUGAUGCGUGAAAAGGAAAUGGCCAACAAGGCCAGGGAACAGCAGCAUAGAUACUCUGAUUUGGAAUCUCGCAUGAAGGACGAACUGAUGAAUGUCAAAAUUAAAUUCACCGAACAGUCACAGACCGUGGCCGAAUUGAAACAGGAAAUUUCCAGAUUAGAAACAAAGAAUUCUGAAAUGUUGGCAGAAGGUGAACUACGUUCUAAUUUAGAUGAUUCCGAUAAAGUACGUGAUCUGCAGGACAGAAUCGCCGACUUGAAAGCAGAGUAUACUACGCCCAUAACAAGUCCCGAUACAGAACCUUGGAAGUGGAUAAGUUAAACAUACUUAUGUCCGAAAUUAAAUGAAAACAAUUGAACCAAAAAACACAGCAAAAGAAAAAAAAAACGAAAACGCAAAACCAUACGCACUUAAACCCGAAUAAAAGAACAAACCCAGAUCAGUUAACAGCAUUAAAGAGUAGAGGAAAAUUCAUACCAGCCUCCAAGCUAAGAAGUUCUUCGAUACAAUCCAUUGAAUCGGCCGAAAGUGAUUUUAAUGACAUCAUAAAUAUGCGCAGAGAAAGCACCGAAUUAUCAUCAUAAUGUUUAAAGAAAAUUAAAUAUUAGAAUUAAAAAAACAAA